CCACAAACCCAGGGGUAACCGACUAGUGGGCCAGGGUUCACGUUGGUGGCGCCCUUGCACACUGCGGGGAAGCCCAUCCUGCCCCCGCGGGCUGUCCCCGGGGCCUGCAGGGCCCUGUCCCCGCGACUCUCGGCUUCUGUCCUGCAGAACCUACAGCUUUACUGCCCCCCUGGGGUCAGUGACCCUCCCAGGGCGAGCGUGACUUGGGGAAACGUUGGUGAAGGUUUCCUAAACCUCCUCGACGUUGUGACACCCCCGGUGCCCUUCCUGUCCUGCUCCCCGCGUCGCUGUGACUCUCCUCCGACAGGAGAAACUUGGAGAGAGGCUCCCGGUGUGAUCCUCGGCGUCAGCUGCCGGGACCCCUGGUGACUUCCGCGGCCCGCCAGUUGAUGAAGUAUCCAGGGGACUUAUCCUACUUGACUUUCAUAAGAAACGUCCAAAGUCCAAGUGAGCCCAGCAGCCACCGUGACCCUCAGUCCAGACCUAGAAAGCGGCAGCACAAAGAAGGAACGUGACUCGCCAGAGAUCGAACAACAGCCUCGUCUCAAAAUUUCACUUUCCCGACAUUGAAGAAUUCUAGAAAGAUCUAAAAUGGGCCCUUUAACGGAGUGACUCAUCAGCAAAAGGGGGACUUUCCUGUGAGUGGUUUUAGGACGUGAAUAACACGCACGGGUCUUCAAACUGCAUGAGUUUUUAGAGAUUAAUCUCCGCUCCUUCGAGAGGUGAGGAGACAGAGGUUUAGAGAGGCUAAUUAAUAUUCUUCCGGAAGCUGUCCAAGCCUGUUUUAUGAUUUACCAGCUUAAUCAUAUUAAUUAUAUAGUACGUGUUCGACUCCAGGAAGUAAGGCCUCACGGAAAGGUCGAGAAACACCGACUCUUCAAUCAGUGUUGGGGUCAUUGCUUGAAUAAAGAUAUUGCAAAAGGGAGAUGGA